rnacentral:lncRNA from 1 species
UCCGGUCUCCCCGCCCGGCCGCCGCGGAGCCACCUGACCGUGCGGGCGUCCCGGCCCCGAGGCCCGUGCGAGACUCACCUGCCACGUCACGGGCUCCCACGGCGGGCCGGAAGUGGCGUGUGCCUCCCGUGCGGAAAUCCCCCGGUGCGAGCGUCACCUCGGCGGUGCGGAGCGGCGCGGCUCCCUCUUCCCGGAUUCCGCGAGGGUUCCCCGAGGCGACAGGCGUCAGCGUCCGCUCCACUUCACUUUUGUGUCCUGUGCCAGGGGAGAGUGUAAGGGACUUUUUAAAAGAGAGGGUGUGUGUGUCAGACUCGUGCAGAGCCGAGGAGUCCUCUGCUUUGUGCAGGACUUGCAGAAAGAAGCAGUUUCAGUCACAAAGUAUCUGUCCGAACAACGACUUUGUCCUCCGAAACUCUCCUGUGGCUGCAUUUGAGGAACGGUUCCUUUGGCCUCAUUUGCCUGUCACGCACAUCUGCUGGUGUCUGAAGUCACCUGCCGCGAAGCUGCGUCCCCAGUGCAGUCGUCACACGCCAGCCCAGGAGCGCUGGGGAUCAAACCCAAGGCAUGCUAGACAAGCCCUCUACGACUGAGCUACCCUCCCAGCCCCACCGUCAAAUAUAUUUUGAAUGAAAACACUUAGAGUGUCAUCUCUUCUAGCAUUAGGACGUGUGUGUGUGUGUGUGUGUUCUGACUUUUGGCCCUCACUAAUUCCCUCUUCUAAGUUCCUAUUGCACUCGUAGCUAAAACAUCCAACUAACACUUGUUUCUAAACUGUGUUCUAUAGUUUUUUUAGGGUCUUACCUAGUAUGCCAUUUUGUGUCUCUCGUGAUACAGCCCGAAUAGUGUAGUUGAAAUAGUUUUAGCCCCUAAUCCAGCCCCAUCUUCCCUGGGAAGGGCUAAAAGUGAUGGCGCACACCUGUAAUCCCAGCUGGGGAUAUAGCUCAGUGGCACAGUGCUUGCCUUGCAAGCAUGAGGUUAUGAGUUCAAUUCCUAGUACCACCAAGAAAAAAAAAAAUGACAUUUUCCCAAGCCAGGUGUGGUGGCACAUGCCUGUAAUCCCAGCACUUGGGCGGCUGAGGCAGGAGGAUCAUUGUGAGUUUAAGACCAGCCUGGGCUAUAAAGUGAGCGCAAGGCCAGCCUGAACUGCAUAGUGAGACGCUGUCUCAAAAAGACAAAAAAAUGAAUAAAUAAAUACCUGUAAUCCCAGCACUUGGGAAGCUGAGGCAGGAGGAUCAUUUCAAGUUUGCAACGAGCCUGGGCUAAAAAAGUGAGCUCAAGACCUGCCUGAAGUGUAUAGCAAGACCCCGCUGCAAAAAAAAAAAAAAAAAAUGGGGGCUGGGGAUUUAGCUCAGCAGCACAGCACCUGCCUGGCAAGCACGAGGUUAUGAGUUCAGUUCCCAGUACCAGAAAAAAAAUUUUAAAAUUUAAAAUAAAUAAAAGUACUGUACAAUAUCAAAUAACAACUCUUAGGCCAGAUGUAGUGGCACAGGCCUAUAAUUCCAGCAGUUGAGAGGCUAAAGCAGGAGUAUCACUGUGAGGUCAAGGCCAGCCAGGGCCACAAAGUGAGCCCUUGUCUCAAAAAAAAAAAAAAAAGAAAACCUCUUUUUACAUUUCUAACUGCAAGUAUCUCCAUCUGCAAACAUCUUGACACUAUAAUAUUAAAGAUAUGAGACACACUUCCUCUUUAAACCUACCUUUUCCUCAUGAUCCUUUUUUUUCAGUGCUGAGGAUUGAACUGAGAUACAUCCUAGCCCUUUUUCUUAUUUUGAGACAGUUACUAAACUGCUCAGGUGUAGGGAGUGGCUGAAGCUGGAAAGCAGUCACACCUGCAGAGCUAAGACAAAGGCAGCCAUAGAGCCAGGGAGAAACAGCUGAGAGAAAGCCAGCCGUGUAAACAAGCUGUUGCAGCUUGCAAACUGGUUGCUAGGCAGGGAGGGUGAAAUUGACAUCAACCUCCUGAGUGCAUAAAUAAAUGCUUCACAGUUCUUGGGCAGUUCCUUUCCUCUCAUCAGGGGAGAGGGCCAUCUGACCUCAGCUUCCCUCUCUUGUCUUUAUUUCUAAAUUCUUGGUUGGGGAUGGGAUGCAGCUCAGUGGCACAGCACCUGUCAGGCAAGGUCCUGGGUUCAAUUCCUGGUACCAAAAAAAGGAAAAUAUUAAAUAUUUCUAAACCCUCUGGCCAUUUUUCCUGGGACCAUGGUGCCAAACAGGGAGCUAGUAAGGAAAAACAAGUGGGUAAAGGGACACUUCUCCCUUUGCUCGAAAUGGGGGGAUGGGAGAAGUGCAUUGGUGGUGUCAGUAUUCAGCAGAGGGGUGCACUGGUAUUGGCAGUUAUCAGGUAUAAAACUCGGGGCGUGGAGGUCUACUGACCUUAAAAAAAUAAAUAAACAAAUAAAAAUGAAAGUAGGCCUUGAAGCAAAAAGGGAAAAGGUGUAUUGAUUUACUAGUUAAGCAUGGGGCAAACAGUGUCAAGAACCACGUAUAUGUGUGUAGAAGUGGUUUUUGCAUGCCUGAUUCCUAUAUUUACCUUCCUUUUGUGGAUUUUGGCUAGAGGAAGUUUUACAACCACAAAGGAUUCAGCUGGGAGUACUUUUUUUUUUUUUUUUUUUUUUUGAGACAGGGACUCACUAUGCAGUUCAGGCUGGCCUUGAGCUCACUUUGUAGCCCAGGCUGGUCUCGAACUCAUAAUGAUCCUCCUGCCUCAGCCUCCCUAGUGCUAGGAUUACAGGCGUGUGCCACCAUGCCCGGCUGGGAGCACUAUUUUAAAAUCAAGUUCCAGCAGGAAAAGGAGGGCGAGGCAACAGCCCUAGCAUAGACCUUGAGCCCUCUAGCUUUGUUCAAUCAGAUAAAGAAGCCAGACCAGCAGGCAAGGGUUUUCAACGUGUCUACCCUGUUACUGAAGUUCAAACUCCCAAUGAUUCAGGACAAAUUACAUGCCUUUGGGUUUGUACAGAUAUUAGUCCCUCAUAUGUACAGGGUCCUACCUUGGUAGCAGGUAUCACUCAGGUUAUUCAUUCACAGCCUGGAGGAAAGGGGAAGAAACAAGGCUGCUUGUUUCUGUUGUGGGGACAAGGAACAUUUUGCCCAAAACUGCCCUGCCGCACCUGUAAAAGCAACACAGCCAUUAACUGCAUCUUCAACAAAACCUUCCUGUCCCUGUAUAAAGUGUAGAUGAGGGUCAACUGAGUGUCGAUUCAAAACUGAUGUGGAAGGCCAACCUACUUUAAGAAACUUCCAGCAGGGCUUGCUACAGUCCUGCCAAACAGUAGGGGUGCUAUGGUCUGGGGAGUUUCCCUGAGACCUCGUCCCUGCUAGGUGUGGUGGGCUCCUCCUGGUUGGGAGGAAAUGCUAAGAAGAAAGCCAAUCAUCCGGACCUCUACUGACGUUUAAAGGGUUAUUUAACAGGGAAAAACUGCUGCUUUCUGCUCCUCUCACCACUUCUCACAGGCCCCCAGGCAGGAGAGGAAACCAAAGAACUCUGUGAGCCUGGAGUUUGGCCCAGACAAGGGCGGUAGGAGGAACGAUGUUGGGUGUUUCAGCUGCAAGGGUGAAAAUUAUGGUUCUAAUGUAAUAUAAUAUUGAUAGACUUAAUACUGGCUCUUAAGGAUUGUUAAACCUGUGUUGUGAUGUUCAAGUUGUGGGAUGAUAAAAAUAAGCUUGUCUUUGUAUCUGAAAGUGAUUUUUUAAAAAAUGUGGCUGUUUGCCAACUUGACAAGGGGUGAAUUGGAAUGGCUGAUACAUGGUGUCAACUUGAGAAGUUUAGAAGCUUGGCUGAGUAAUGGGGGUGGGGCUAGAGUCCUCACUUUGUGAACAUCCUCAGCCUGUGCAGGAGAAGAGCGUGGAGAUGGUGUGCAUACUGCACCACCUUAGAUGGGGAGCCUGCUUACAGUGUGGGGGAGAAAAGGACAGGUUUUUCUUUUCUGCACUUAAGACUAACAAUGGUCCAGCAUAUACAAGUGCUGCUUUCCUCCAAAUGUUUUGUAAAACGUUUGUUAUUUCCCUUGUCAUAGGAAUUCCUUAUAAUCCUCAGGGUCUAAAAAAAUGUUAAACAUGCUCAUCCUGUGUUCAAAAUUCAAUUACAAAAACAAAAGGGGGAGUCCAUCCCUCCCACUUCACGUGGCAGUGUAUACUGUUACAAUUCAAUCAGGUAAAGCUAAAAAGCUAAUUUAGGGUUGAGGAUAUGCUUGUAUUUUGCUAGAACAUGCUGUCCAGCCAUAUCAUAAACUCAGAUCUGCAGAAAAAGUUGUUUCUACCUUUCAGGAAGCUGGUGCACAGUCCUGUGACAGUGACACCUUGAAGACUGCUCUGCAACAGAGAGACAGGGAUGAGGCUAGAUCUGACCUGGGGCCUAUCGAAGGAACUGACCCAGAAUGCCCAGGAGAUGGUAACCAAAAUGGGAAUCAAAGGUCUGAGUAGGUGAUAGAACAUAUAGAAAUAACUGGGCUAAAAGGUACCAGUAUUCUUAAGAUAAAACAAAAUACAAAAAAUAUAUAUUAAUUAUAGAUAAAAGAAUUUAUUGCUUCCAAAUUCUUCUUCUAAGAGCUCUGCACUAAUUGACAAUAAAAUCUGUCUAGUUUAUUUAUAAUUAAAAAUUUAUAAAAUUGUAGAAUUACUAUAAUUCAAUUUGGUCAAAAAUAUAUUUGAGUGCACUCUGAUUUUAUAACAUAUGUGCUUGUUUGUUCAACCUGUUAAGCUGUGUACUUGUUAUUUGUCUGUCCAUUCCCUGAACAUCUGUUCCAUUUUUAUUUGAACUCAACAAUUUAUUCUCUUUUCCUUUUUUCUUUUGCAUUUUUGGAUCAUUUGUUCAUAAUACAAUUUGGGUUCUAGAUUUAAAAGCAUGCUUCCACCUGUGUUACUAGCUGGUCAAAAAUGAUAUCAAAAUUUGUUUUUCUCAUAGGUCAUCAAAAAAAUUAAGAUAAUUAAGAUAAACAAAAAUUCCUUAGGGUGGAGAGAGAUUAUUGGACAGGACUCCAAUUGGUGAAUAGAGGAUUGGCCAACCUUUGUUCAUUAAUACGGAGCUCCUAAUGAUCUCCAUAAUCUUAUGGGAGACAACCCCAAUAAUUCGGUCACAGUCAAAAGGUAAAGUUUUCUAGAAAAAAAUGCAAUAAGAUUUUCUCGCAAAAGAUGCACUUAGUACAAAACUAAAUUAAAAAAUAAAGGUUUUCACAUGUGUAUGAUAGUUACUGUUAAUCUCAUGGUGUAUUAGAUGUAUUCGUGACUCCAGAUGUACAGGUCUUCCAAAAUGUAAAAGAAGGAUUGCUGAUGGUGUUAAGACUUUUCUUUGAACUCAAACCUCUGCCAUUAACAAAAAACUUGGGGCUGGGGAUUUAGCUCAGCGGCACAGCACCUGCCUGGCAAGCACAAGGUCAUGAGUUCAGCUCCCAGUACCGGAAAAAAAAAAACAAAAACCAAACCUUGUGACGUACAUCCCAUUAAAGGACAACAAAUUAGAUAAAAGUUUCUUAUGUGUUAGACAGAGAUAAUUGGUUAAAAGUGUCAUGUUAUGUCAAAAUGAAAAUUUGUGUUACAAAAUGUC